UACGUAGGGUGCAAGCGUUAUCCGGAAUUAUUGGGCGUAAAGAGCUCGUAGGCGGUCUGUCGCGUCUGCUGUGAAAACUCGGGGCUUAACCCCGGGCCUGCAGUGGGUACGGGCAGACUAGAGUGCGGUAGGGGGAGACUGGAAUUCCUGGUGUAGCGGUGAAAUGCGCAGAUAUCAGGAGGAACACCGGUGGCGAAGGCGGGUCUCUGGGCCGUAACUGACGCUGAGGAGCGAAAGCAUGGGGAGCGAACAGG
rnacentral:rRNA from 1 species